rnacentral:tRNA from 1 species
GCCCGAGUGGUGAAAUUGGCAGACACGCUGUGUUCAGGGCGCAGUAGUCGCAAGGCUGUGCGAGUUCAAGUCUCGCCUCGGGCA